AGCGAACGCUGGCGGCAGGCCUAACACAUGCAAGUCGAACGAACCCUUCGGGGUUAGUGGCGGACGGGCGAGUAACACGUGGGUGAUCUGCCCUGCACUUCGGGAUAAGCCUGGGAAACUGGGUCUACUACCGGAUAGGACCACUGCCUGCAUGGGUGGUGGUGGAAAGCUUUUGCGGUGUGGGAUGGGCCCGCGGCCUAUCAGCUUGUUGGGGGGGUGAUGGCCUACCAAGGCGACGACGGGUAGUCGGCCUGAGAGGGUGACCGGCCACACUGGGACUGAGAUACGGCCCAGACUCCUACGGGAGGCAGCAGUGGGGAAUAUUGCACAAUGGGCGCAAGCCUGAUGCAGCGACGCCGCGUGAGGGAUGACGGCCUUCGGGUUGUAAACCUCUUUCAGCACCGACGAAGCGCAAGUGACGGUAGGUGCAUAAGAAGGACCGGCCAACUACGUGCCAGCAGCCGCCGUAACAC
rnacentral:rRNA from 1 species